UACGUAGGGGGCAAGCGUUGUCCGGAAUCAUUGGGCGUAAAGCGCGCGUAGGCGGUCAGGUAAGUCCGGUGUGAAAGUCAAAGGCUCAACCUUUGAAUGCCGCUGGAAACUGCCUGACUUGAGUCCGGUAGGGGCGAGUGGAAUUCCUGGUGUAGCGGUGAAAUGCGCAGAUAUCAGGAAGAACACCCGUGGCGAAGGCGGCUCUCUGGGACGGUACUGACGCUGAGACGCGAAAGCGUGGGGAGCGAACAGG
rnacentral:rRNA from 1 species